UACGGAGGGUGCAAGCGUUAUCCGGAUUCACUGGGUUUAAAGGGUGCGUAGGUGGGCUGUUAAGUCAGUGGUGAAAUCUCCGGGCUCAACCCGGAAACUGCCAUGAUACUAUCAGUCUUGAAUAUCGUGGAGGUAAGCGGAAUAUGUCAUGUAGCGGUGAAAUGCUUAGAUAUGACAUAGAACACCAAUUGCGAAGGCAGCUGCUACCCGAAUAUUGACACUGAGGCACGAAAAGCGUGGGGGGAUCAAACAGG
rnacentral:rRNA from 1 species